AUGAGCGACACUGAAAGGUGCACUGUCUUCGACAACUUCCUCGCCGACCCCAGGUACACCUUUGCAGGAUUCUCCAUCAACGGCGACAAAACCAGGCUGGAGCGCGUCAAACUGGAGGUCGCCAACUUCAUCGACAUCCAGAAGGAGUGGAGGGUGCCCGAGGCAACCAAGCCGUUGGACUCCCUCGGAGACAUCUCUGGUGUUCUCAUCGACGACUACUACAACAACAUGAAGAAGAAGAUCACCGACGACGAGCACCAGCGCUGGGCCACCCUGCCUCUGUCCAGGAGGCACAUUGAGUACGCGGCAAAGGACACCUACGUAGCGAUGGCACCAGUAGCGGACACAUGCGUCUACGCAGAAGGUCUAGAGCUCACCAACACCGAGUGGCGCAGCAUGCUCAGCUGCCUGAUGAUACCCAACAGGGGGUUUCGUGCGCCAUUUCGUCAUCGCCUCACAACCGUAGAUCUACAGGAAAGUUGGAAACUGCCAUCCACAAUAAAAUUUCAUGCUCCGAGUUCAGGGAAGCUUACUUUGGAGACAGAACACAAGAAUGGCUAUAGAGACAUGCAAGCUGACUACCACAUCGACUCUGAAGACUGCAUCAACAUAACUACUGGUUGGAAAGAUUUUGUCUCCCAGAAUGGCUUUGAGGCCGGAGAAGUGACCAUGGUCUUUUUCUACAAAGAACAAGACUCCAUCAAGUUUACAAUAUUUGCACUCUAG
rnacentral:rRNA from 1 species